CGGGAUGACUUUAGAGCAACGAUGAAACCAGUAUAGUGGAUUGCCAGGAUCUUUGGGUUAAAACAUGGAUUGAAGUGGGUUUGGGAGUAAGAAUCAGACUGGAUGACAUGGAUGAAGAAAAACAAGGUCACGGUCGUGGAAAAGUUGAGAGAAAUGAAUCAGGACCAGGCAAGACGGAAUGACAGUGUCUAACAGCCAUAUCAUACGUCACCAUGUUCCCAGAUCCCAGCAAUUACUGCAAUUAAAGACUUAUGCAACUCAACCACCAACAGUUCGGUCG